CUGUAUGGCCAUAACACCUUGUCUGUUUCUGAUCUUAUCUGAUCUGGGAAGCUGUGCAGGGUCAGUCUGCUGAAUACUUGGAUGGGAGACUGUUGGGAAUACUCAGGACUGCAGU
rnacentral:rRNA from 1 species